AUUUUGUUGGUUUCUAGGACCGCCGUAAUGAUUAAUAGGGAUAGUUGGGGGCAUUAGUAUUCGAUUGUCAGAGGUGAAAUUCUUGGAUUUAUCGAAGACUAACUACUGCGAAAGCAUUUGCCAAGGAUGUUUUCAUUAAUCAAGAACGAAAGUUAGGGGAUCGAAGACGAUUAGAUACCGUCGUAGUCUUAACCAUAAACUAUGCCGACUAGGGAUCGGGCGCGGUUUCAAACGACUCGCUCGGCACCUUAAGAGAAAUCAAAGUUUUUGGGUUCUGGGGGGAGUAUGGUCGCAAGGCUGAAACUUAAAGGAAUUGACGGAAGGGCACCACCAGGAGUGGAGCCUGCGGCUUAAUUUGACUCAACACGGGGAAACUCACCAGGUCCAGACACAGUAAGGAUUGACAGAUUGAGAGCUCUUUCUUGAUUCUGUGAUUGGUGGUGCAUGGCCGUUCUUAGUUGGUGGAGUGAUUUGUCUGCCUAAUCGCGAUAACGAACGAGACCCUUACCUGCUAAAUAGUCGACUCGGCCUCGGCCGGGACCUCGUUAGGUCAUGACUUCUUAGAGGGACUGGAGGCUCCAAGCCUCAGGAAGCCGGGGGCAAUAACAGGUCUGUGAUGCCCUUAGAUGUUCUGGGCCGCACGCGCGCUACACUGAUAAAGUCAGCGAGUCUUAUUCAUAGAAUAGUCCUUGGCCGGAAGGCCUGGGCAAUCUUGUUAACUUUUAUCGUGCUGGGGAUAGCGCAU
rnacentral:rRNA from 1 species